CAGCACCUCAAGUGGACAGGAUGAUUAUUGGGCCUAAAGCAUCCGUAGCCGGCGCUGUAAGUUUUCGGUUAAAUCUGUACGCUCAACGUACAGGCUGCCGGGAAUACUGCAGCGCUAGGGAGUGGGAGAGGUAGACGGUACUCGGUAGGAAGGGGUAAAAUCCUUUGAUCUAUUGAUGACCACCUGUGGCGAAGGCGGUCUACCAGAACACGUCCGACGGUGAGGGAUGAAAGCUGGGGGAGCAAACCGGAUUAGAUACCCGAGUAGUCC
rnacentral:rRNA from 1 species